UGCGUAGGUGGGCAGGUAAGUCAGUGGUGAAAUCCCCGAGCUUAACUUGGGAACUGCCGUUGAUACUAUCUGUCUUGAAUAUCGUGGAGGUAAGCGGAAUAUGUCAUGUAGCGGUGAAAUGCAUAGAGAUGACAUAGAACACCAAUUGCGAAGGCAGCUUGCUACACGGUAAUUGACACUGAGGCACGAAAGCGUGGGGAGCAAACAGGAUUAGAUACCCUGGUAGUCCACGCCCUAAACGAUGAUCACUCGACAUCAGCGAUACACUGUUGGUGUCUGAGCUAAAGCAUUAAGUGAUCCACCUGGGAAGUACGAUCGCAAGAUUGAA
rnacentral:rRNA from 1 species